CUAUUCUUACUAACAGAAAAGAGAAUUUCAAAAUUAAGGAAUUAUAUACACACACGCCAUAUACAAUUCUUCACAUAACAGGGAAGAGGACGCCAUUUUUAAAUAAAAAAGAAAAAUAGAGGGCAACAUUCCAUUCUCUUCCUCUUUCUUCCUCACAAUUCCCUCACAGAAACCACUCUCCAUCAUCACUCAUCCUAACCAUAUACAUCACAAACAAAUACGCACACACUCAAGAGAGAGAAGAGAGCUCUCGCCAUUAACACAGCUUAUAUACACACAGCUUCAGGCACACAUUGAGAAUCGACCAUUUUCUAUUAGACACUUUAUCACCAACAUCGAGACUCACCCAGAUAACAACAACAACAAAGAUUCCCUUCACAAUUCAUCGCACACACACAAUCGAAAAAGAGAAAAAUGGAGGGACAUUGAGAAAGACCGGAGAAAGAGAGAUUCGAGUGAGAGAGAGAUCAAAACAGGGAGAGGGAUCAAAAGAUUGGGAGCAAAGCAUAAAGGGGAGCCAACUAGGAAGGAGGGUGGUGCGAUCGGAUUUCGGCAACGUCCACCGAAAUCGCGGUUGUGUUCGGUUCUGCUUGAAAUCGGGUCAGGCGCGGGUUUUGUUUUGCAUUCUGUUCUUGGUCAAUUGUUAUUUUGAACUGGAUUUUGUCGUUGUUCUUUCUAAACUAGGCGAAUCGGUCGUUUGAACUUGGUUCCAGUGAAAUCGGUUGUGGGUUUUCGUUAUUAUAACAUUUUGGUCUGAUGUGGUGAUUAAACCGAGUUCGGAAUUGAGUUUGUUGGUCGAGUUUGUGUCCGAUUCGAGGUUCUUUGGCACGCGGAUUCAUCUUAUUGACUGAUAUUUGGAAUAAAAUCAUCAUUGAGCUGUCGAAUUAUUUUGCGGAUUGAAAUAAAAUUGAGGUUCUGCUCGGGAUAUUCGGACGCGGUCUUCGUUUUUUUUCACUCGAUUAAUAUUGGAAUUUGAAAGCUACGAAUCGAGGUCCAGUUCUAUUCCCCUCUUUUGUUUUAUGUUUAUUAUAUUUGAUGUGUUGGAGUGAAUAUUGUGUUUGGUUGAUGAUUGUGACGUGGUGAUAUGUUUCGAUAUUGUGUUUGAGAAAUUGCGAUUACUGUGGUUGAUAUUGAUUGAUUGAUUUACGUGAAUGAAGGAAUUGAAAGAGUUGAAUUCAUGUGGGAAUAAGUGGGCGAGAAUUGAAAACUUGAUAUAAUUAGUGAACUUUGAUUAGUUUGAUUCAUUAGUUGUUUGACUUGAAAUAAACGUUAAUUGAAUUUGGUAGUAGCAAGAUACGCUGAUUGGAAUAGGCAAAACGUAGGUCGGGUAGACAAAUCUAGAGAUUGUGGGUUGAUUGAGUGUUUGAAAUUUGAUUGAAUGGUUUGAUUUUAGCACUUUUGAAUCAAUUGUAUAAUUUGGCCGGGGAAUGCCUCGAAGUAUCUGUAUAUAUUUAUUCACAAGGAAAUGCCCCGAGGUAUCAUGUACCCGGAGAACGUUCUGUUUUUUUUUGAUUAUUUUGCAUGCUUCUUUUGAGGUUCAUACAUUUCUUAGUGCCAAAUAGUCGAUACACUCUACCAAGCGACCGUGGUUGAACCACGGGAUCGAGAGGUGCCAAAUACCUUCCCCUCGGUCAACAGAAUUCCUUAGCCAGAAUCUCUGUUCGCAAACCAGUUCAAAGAGUCAAACGGUUUUGAAAAGGAUUUUCUAAUGGUGACUUGACACACCAGAUUAUGCCAAGUGGCGACUCUGAGUAAAAAAUGUAAAUAAUCCUUUUCCGAAACAAAUUUUCAUUUCUUGUCACUUAAAUAAUAAAACCCUUUCGAACUAAAAAUAUAAAUCGUUUGGAGUACGAAAAAGGGGGUGUGACAGUUGUGGGUGGGUUUUUUAGAUGUAUUAUAAAAGAGGCAACUAUUUUGAGUAAAAAAAGAAAUUUUUGUAAUUAGUUUGGUUGGAUGGGAUUUUAAGUAAUAAUAGAAACUUAAGGUGUGGUUGUAAGUAAUUUAAUUUUAACGGGGAGAGAUUUUGUGAUUAAAGAUUGGUUUGCUUUUAUUAUCAGCCCAAAUUAUUCCUUCUUGAUUUAUUUUAGUAUUGAGCUUCAUAUUAUAUUAUUUAUGCUUUAGAUUUUGAGUCUUAAACGCACAGGCACAAUGAUGCUACAUCCCAUUCCCUUAUUGUAUGUUGAUUCAAAAAUUAACUUCUCAG
rnacentral:lncRNA from 1 species